GAGAGUGCAGCUCUAAGUGGAUGGUAAACUCCAUCUAAGGCUAAAUACGACCACGAGAUCGAUAGCGAACAAGUACCGUUAGGGAAAGUUGAAAAGAAUUUUGAAAAGAUGCGUCGAGGCCGUCGCAAGCGCGCGCCACGGUACUCGGAGGUUACGGACUUUGCGCCGUCCCCGGUCCUGGCCCGCUGUUGGUUAAAGUACGGCUCAUCUUCGACAGGCCUGUCGAACGUCCCUCUCCCUCCCUUGUGGGUCGCGAGGGGGAUCUAUACCGGUCGGCGACGCUAUUGCUUUGGGUACUUUUAGGACCCG
rnacentral:rRNA from 1 species